rnacentral:tRNA from 1 species
GCCGAAGUGGCGGAACUGGUAGACGCACCGGACUCAAAAUCCGGCGGGGUCACACUCGUGUCGGUUCGAUCCCGACCUUCGGCA